UGCAGAGUGGUGGAAAUGGAUUUACCAUGUUAGGUUCAUACCCUGAAGAUUGCAGGUUCGACUCCUGCCUCUGCAACCA
rnacentral:tRNA from 1 species